AAGGUAUAAUAGCUGCCCCCCCAUGGGGGCUUCACAGCGCUUUGAGCUUCUCCACCGUCCGAUUUUUACUGUGCGUGGCCAGCAUUCGAUCUCAGCCGACCAUUUCUGGCAGUGUAGCACCUCCUGGCUGGCUAGCGAAAUCCAUGCAAUAGCCGUUAUCUACCCCGUCUGGCUGCGUUUGGGUCCCACGGUCGGUCGGGUCCGCCCGUCAAUCACCGUGAGUCGUUUCUGGGUCGCGCUCGCCUCGCGCCGGACGGGAAAAAUAUCUCUUCGCGCGAACCCUACCUCACCCAAUCGACUCGCACCCAGCUCUUCCCCAAUCCCCUCUCGUGCGUCUGGCGGCGCCGCUCCGCCUCCCUGGUUGCCCACCGCACGGCGCACACCAAGCAGCCCGCCUCGGCAUCAUCGCGUUCCUACCCCGCUCGCCGCCUUGCCCAUCCGCUUCCUGCCGCCGCCGCUGCUUGAUUGGAUCGCUGUCCGUGAAGUGGGGGGAGCGGAGAUUUGAUUUGGGGUUGGGGGUUUGUGAGGAUGGGGGCGCCGUCGCGGCCGGAGGAGGUGGUGGCGCUGGUCAAGCUGCGCGUGGCGGCGGGGCAGAUCAAGCGCCAGAUCCCGCCCGAGGAGCACUGGGCCUUCUGCUACGACAUGCUGCAGAAGGUCUCCCGCAGCUUCGCGCUCGUCAUCCAGCAGCUCGGACCAGAACUACGCAAUGCCGUAAGCACUCCCCCUCUCUUCCCCCCUUCCCCACCCCAACCCGGCAAACAAAUUCGCUCCGAUUCGAGAGCCCCCGUGUUGCUCUGCCUCCCUUGACGGCCGACGGCCAGCAGGAGUAGCGCACCGCCGGCGCAAGCAGGAGGGGCUGCUGGAGCUCCGCCCUUGAUGGUGAUGGUGGACUCGAGCUCGCGCCGGCGACCUCCACAAGAGCAGCGCGGGCGACCUCCACAGCGGCAGCGCGGGCGACCUCCUCGGCCGCGUUUCUGGAGGUAGAGGACGGCGGAGCUCCACCACUUCGCCCGCAGGCUGCUGCCGCACGACAUAUAACGGCUCACCAGCCCAAGGCCGAUCGUGCCUCUUCCGUCCAAAUCAGGGAGGAAGAGGACUCACAUAGGGGUAUGGAUUUGGGGAAGAAGAAGAGGAGGAUGCCAACCAUCUGGUGCGGAUCUCUUCCAGUGGCCAGCCUCCUCUGCCUCUACUUUUCAGGCUGUUGGGAACUCCUACUGAGGAAAAUUGGCCUGGAGUGACUCAUCUGAGGGACUGGCAUGAGUAUCCAGGGUGGAAAUCACAGAAAUUGACUCGUGUGGUCCCGACUCUGGAACCGAAAGGUUGUUCGAUGAAAAGACAUUGGUGUUGCGGCAUUGUUGUUAUAGUGGUCAACAACAACCUCUAGCUAAGGCAAGAAGGGUUUGAGUGGCAUCUCAGCUCCCUCAGAAUAUUGUGAAUGUAAUGGAUUGAAUAUUGUGUGCAUCAGAAACAGAAACCGAAUAUUGUAGGCAAGAAGGGUUUGGGUGGUGCUUGUCUUGCAGGUUAUGGUGGUUCCAUUAGAGUGUGGUAAAUGUCCUAUAUGUAGUCAAGCCGAAGUGGUUGUUGCCCCAGCGAUAUGCUCUAGGAGAUAAUAUCUUUUAGAUUCCAUGUGCUCUGAGAAGAAUGCAAUAUAUUUUGCCACUAACGAGUUGACAAGCAAAAAGCUGCUGAGAAAUAAGCUUUGAUUCAAUAUACGAAUUCUCGGUUUUAAACUGGAAAUGUGAUGCGUUUCACUGAUCGCUGGCUUGUUGCUCUUCCCGGCCAGAUGUUAAUCCCGUGCACAUGAUUGAAAAAUCAGAAGUUGAUGCAGAGAGUUUUCUUGCUGAAAAAUGCCCAAUCUACUAUACCUUGAGAAGCAACAUUAUUUAUGGGCCCCAAAUGAUGUCCUGUAGCAAAAUCUCAGCAUAUUUCCAUAUUUUCCUACUCAGGACCAUAGGUUAUACUUGUCUCAAUAAAAAAAAUUGGAGCUGAAUAAUACAAUUAUAGUUCUACAAUCGAUUACAUUCUCAUUUCUGGUGCAUGUUUCUACCAACACUUUUUUUUCUCUGGAAGACCAUAGAAUUUUCCAUUGCCAUGUGGAGGAUUGUAAGAUAAUAAAUCAUUUCAAAAGUAGAUGGGAUUUGGAAAAUAUAGGUAAGGAAGGGUCAAAACAUUAUUCUAUCGAGAGCAAAAUAGAUAAAAUAAAAGAUUUGCUUACUGUUACAUUGUCAACAUGUGGACAGAAGGGAGUAGUAGUAGGCUAGAAGACUCCAACCAUAUUCCGGUAUAUAUUAUAUUAAGUUAAAUACCUGAAUAUUCAGUCUGUAAUAUUCGGUCAUCGGCUGCAAGUUUCCUCUCCAGAGAUCCGUGGACGGCAACAGAGGAUAUGUGCGCUAUGUUACGGAAACAGGUUAUUAUACUGUCAUUCUACUAACUAGCCAGUUGAACUACUAUAUGACUUAGUUUCCCAUCAGAUGCAUGCUUGUUACUCCUGUAUUUUGUUACCUGUAAACACUCUUUAGUUAUUUUACUGUACAGGCAACUGCCACAGUCUUAAUUUCUAUCCUUGUAUUUUAACAACAAGUUUCUGUACUUCAUAAUAUUCGCAUAGAGGAAUUAUCUCCUUGGUUGGGUAUACUGUUACUGAACUUACUACAUAACCGCACUUCAAGAUUUUUUAUGAUUUGCUCUGCCUCAAUCUUUGCUCGAGUGGCGCUAUCUUUUCUCUUCUCUCUACCUGUCAAUGUGCUCCAUUUCUUGUGAUUUUUUUUGUUUCUUCUCCUAUUUUUUUAUGCUGACUCAGUGGCGUUGUUCAGCUUGCAGGCUGGUCACACUCAGCAUGGGAGAGCUGGCCAAAUUUGAUGAAGUAACGAGACUACAACAAUGACUAAAUCGUUUAUUAGCAUUAGAGUAAUAUAUAUUCCUCUAUUUCGGUGAUUGUAUAUAAGUCUUUGCUACUCUGUUCCUGAUUUCGUGUGUUUUAUCCAUUUCAUCCUAUCUCCUAAUUUCAUCAUAACGGCUUUGUUUUGUAAAAUUUAAAAAGCAUAUUAUCAAUGUCUCGCCUGAUUUUUUUGAUGUUGAGUGAUGAGCCAUAAGUUUUUGUCCUUGCUGGAAAAACAAAAAAAGGUAAAUUAAUUGAUAGUAUGUCUUUUGUUUAGUAUGGACUUAGUUCCAGAAUGAUGAUUUGUUCUGUUCACCUGCAGCAUCUUUUAACCUCACUUGAUAAAAAUUGGAGGCUGCAAGUUAUAUAAAAGUGUGCCAUAGUUAUUUGAGAAGAUUUGGUACUCAAAAGGAAUCUGGAAUGGUUCUACUACCACUUUCUAGAUUGAGGUUUUGUUUUCUUUUUGUUGCAAUUAGGAACUUUUGAGUCUUUUCACCGUAACAUGAGAUUUAUGCCACUUUUAAUCAGUGAACCAUGCUCACGGUAGGUGAAAUUGAGUGAUUUUCCUUGCCGAUGGUUUAUUCUGUGUAAUCUAGCUUUUGCUUUUGGUUUAUGGAUAUGAUAAAGUAAGAAAGAUGGAAGAACGGUGGUGCGUAGACCAAAUUGUAAUUAAGACAUAAUUUUGCUGUGUGUGGCCAGGCAUUGAAAAAAACAUCCUACAUGUUAUUAUGAUGUACCAGUUAACAUUGUUUAAGUCUUUGUUGAACAAAAACACUGCCCACCACCAUCACAAACCUGGGUCUAAAAUGAAAAUUAGUAAUACUAAAGCUGAAUUUUAAAAGACAAGUUUGUAUCUUUUCUGGAAUACUCGGCAGUUUUACUCCGGCAGUUUUAGGAAUAGAUCCAGGGACAAGCAAAUGAGUGUUCUGUUUUUUGUUGUUGUACUACCCUAAACAUCUUUAACAUGAUUCAGCAAGCAUGCCCAUGCUAAACUGGAAGGAGGAGUACUAUCUCAUCAGGCUCCUCGGAUCCUCCCAAGAAUAUAGAGUACACACAUCCAAUCUUACGACAAGGAAGCUUUGGCAUGACAACAAUUGGGUUGCUCUUCCAAAGCCUCGAGUCUCUACAAGUGAUCUUUUGCUUCAGGGAUCUUGUGCAUCCUAUCGUCGUCGAGCUCCUCUGCCUCCAUGAUGUCUCCCUUCAUCGUGUGUGGUGGCCAGAAGGUUCGCUUUAGUGGCAGUGAUACAGAGGCAAAUCCACCUGCGCAAUCGUCUCCUACGUCAUGCACGGCAGACGGACGAGGAGGUACCCCUCCUCACUAUUAACUUAUUUUGCAUCAUUGCAUGUAGUGCAUGUGUACAAGUAAUAAUAAAUAAUGGUCAUCCAAUCAUGGACCACUUCAAAUAGCGUAUAUAGGGACUAAAAUAGGAUCACAUUUACACUGUUUCUCAAUUUUUCAAAAGUUUGUCGGAGAAGCAUCAAGAGUGGUGAUUUAACUUGCAUUUCUAUGCAGUAUAAUAUCAUUUAAUGAUUGCACUUUGUUUUACCAGAAUAUUAGUGCGAAUAAUCCUGAUAACUUGCCAUUCUGUUAUAUUACAAGAGUUGCUUUUCUGAAGUCAUUUGUAUUAUACUGGUUGCUUGUUUUAUCAUACUGAUCUUGAUUGAUUUGAAUCGGAUUAUGUGCAUUGAUUAUACCGACUGUGUACGUAUGCACAUAUGUGAUACUGAAUUAAUCAUCGAGUUUUCCGGUAGAUUGACUUCUACUACGUAUAUAUAAUGCCAGUUUUUGUUGAUGUGAUAUUCAUGGUGUAUCUUUACUCAAAACUGUUGUGGGGCGCUCAAAUUGUAGCUAGCUCAUCCAUUUUGCAGCGGACCAUGUGUUUACCAGCAAAAAAAUUUCUUCUUUUGACUAUGUAUUUGUUGGCUAGCUCUUUCUACUACAUAUUUCAACCCAGGUACUUGUGUUAAUUGCGUGACCUUUGUGAGGACAGAUAGAUCAUUCCACCUUGGCCAAGAUGUCGCAACUUAUCUGUUUCAAGGUAUAUAUCUUCGGUAUUAACUACGCAUUUUCCUGUAUUUUGUAUUUGUAUGAAUCUUGAUAUGCCAUAUUGUAGUGGCUAGAUUGGAUUGUGCAGUUCAAGAUUUAUGUUUUUUUUGGCUUUCAACUACCCUCCUCAAAACCUUUAGGGGUGUAUUCAUAUGAGACUGAGUUUGCCAAAGGUGAGCAGUUCUCUGGCUGCUAUGGGUCAGAUGAAGAUGACACAAUCAAUUGGAAACUAUGACUCCCAACUGAUGUUUAUUUGUGUUUGCUGUUUCGUGUUAGGCUACUUGUGAGAAAUAAUUAGCAGCUCUAUUGUGAACUCGACUGGGACCCCUAUUAGCUAUUGUUACCUUAGGACGGUGUAUUUGUACCUGUUGUAAUAUGUUUCCUGUUUUUUCCACUUGUAUCUACCAUGUGCAUUCAACAAAGAAAGAUUUGUAAAUUCCUGGUUAAGUCAUGCUGCUCCCUCAAGAAUUGUCUCU